rnacentral:rRNA from 1 species
UACGGGGGGGGCAAGCGUUGUUCGGAAUUACUGGGCGUAAAGGGCUCGUAGGCGGCCAACUAAGUCAGACGUGAAAUCCCUCGGCUUAACCGGGGAACUGCGUCUGAUACUGGAUGGCUUGAAUCCGGGAGAGGUAAGUGGAACUGCGAGUGUAGAGGUGAAAUUCGUAGAUAUUCGCAAGAACACCAGUGGCGAAGGCGGCUUACUGGUCCGGUUCUGACGCUGAGGCGCGAAAGCGUGGGGAGCAAACAGG